rnacentral:rRNA from 1 species
AUGGGCACAGGAAAAUAUCAGUUGGAUAAAGAACAUUUUGCUCUCUAUCCAGACUUUGAGGACAAUCAAGUUGUCAUGAAUGAGAAUGAUCCAUCAUCAGUGCAAGCUCAAGAGAAGAGGGAGAAGGCAACGAAAGAGAAGGCUGCCAAGAUGCCAACUCAAGAGGAGGCAUCUGAGUAUUUCUUGAAGAACAAACAGGAGCAGCUUGGUUACUUGAUAGCAUCAACACUGAGGAUUGAGAAGGGGUUGGCCACCCUAACUCAAAACCAGGAGAGCCUGGAAAGAAUCAUGGAACAAAAAUUCUUUGAUCUUGAUGUCAAAGUAACUGAGAUUCAGUCAGUUGUGGAACAGCUGCAGGAUGACAUGCAGGAGUGGAAGGGCAAGACAACCACAGAUGCAUUUGCCAGAGUGCCUAGAGCUCACAGGUCAGCUGCAAUGCCUGUAACAGACACAAGAGCCACAUCAUCUGCACCAGCUACAGCUCCUACAACUCCAGGGCAACCAGCUCCAGCACCAACUCCUCCAGCUCCGUCUACAUCAACUGAAGUCUUCGUCCAAGGAGCCAUCUCUACACCACCAACGGAAGACCAAGCCUGA